rnacentral:tRNA from 1 species
CGUUAGCUCAGCUUGGUAGAGCAGCAGACUUUUAAUCUGCGGGUCGCAGGUUCGAAUCCUGCACG